AGGACGAACGCUGGCGGCGUGCUUAACACAUGCAAGUCGAGCGGAAAGGCCCUUCGGGGGUACUCGAGCGGCGAACGGGUGAGUAACACGUGAGCAAUCUGCCCCUAGCUUCGGGAUAGCUCCGGGAAACCGGAAUUAAUACCGAAUAUUACUACGGCCGACAUCGGCCACGGUGGAAAGUUUUUCGGCUAGGGAUGAGCUCGCGGCCUAUCAGCUUGUUGGUGGGGUAACGGCCUACCAAGGCGACGACGGGUAG
rnacentral:rRNA from 1 species